AAAAUUGCUAAUGUUUAUUGAGUAACUAUUGUGUGCCAGUCACCAUUAUAGAUAUUUUCAUUUUUACCAACUCAUCAAAUCAUUAUGACCUUAUGAGGUAGGCAUGUGUCCCUGUUUUGCAGAUGGACAAUUCGAGGCUGAGAGAGUUACAUGAUUUAUCCAAAGUCACACACGUGCACAGGUGGUGGAGCUGAGGUGCAGAUUCAGGCUUGACUUCAAAACCAGGGCUCUCGCUCCAACAGUAGGCUGCAACGGCUUGAAGGACAAUGAUACUUACAGCAUGCCUACUGUGUGCAAAAUGCCAUGCUGAAGGCUGUCAGGGCUUGAAAGGUGAUGAUUCAGCAGAGGAUGCUGUUUGUGCCUCACCCCGUGUCCUCUAGCCCACUUCUCCACUCAUCUGCCACCGUGAUGGGAAGGUGUCAGCAAGCCCAGGAAUUGUCCACCCUAAGCAGCCUUUCUGCUUCUCACCUGCAGAGUUUCUCCAGUGCAGGGACCAAGAGAGCUUUACUCAGCCCACAGGACAGCUGGGAUUUAGCACUGCAGGGGCAACCCUCAAGUUAUUAAUAAGAGAUAAGAAUGGGUGGAUAAGCAACCUGGCUGCCUUGGAACUCCGUGGGACAAUUCCAUGGUGUGUUCUCACAGUUCCUCAGUGGGCCCCCAUUGCCCACAAUGAAACUCGAUCAUUAACCACUCUUCACUGGCUUUUCUCCUAACCCAUCCCUAUCUCACUUCCCCUUUCCCUCCCUCCAGCCUCCAGGGAUCACCUCCUCAGUAAACUACCUGCACCCAAGUUCUUGUCUCAGGGUCUGAUUUCAGGAGAAACCAAACUAGGACAUGCAGAGACACGCGUGCACACAUACACAUACACACACACACACACACACACGCGCACAUCUCUGUGAAAAGAUGAGGCACAGAGAAGAAUCAUUCCCAGUCAUGACUGGAUGGC
rnacentral:lncRNA from 1 species